CUUCCCAUUUGACUACCACUUUUUCACUUCAUAGAUUCAGUGGUUAUGCUUAUGGGAUAAAAUACAGUAACUGCCAUGGUCUGAUGGAGAAAGAGUGGCCAUGUCUUUUUUUUCCUAUAUGAAAUGGCAGAACAAUCUAGC